GACGAACGCUGGCGGCGUGCUUAACACAUGCCAGUCGAACGGAAAGGCCCUUCGGGGUACUCGAGUGGCGAACGGGUGAGUAACACGUGGGUGAUCUGCCCUGCACUUUGGGAUAAGCCUGGGAAACUGGGUCUAAUACCGAAUAGGACCACGCGCUUCAUGGUGUGUGGUGGAAAGCUUUUGCGGUGUGGGAUGGGCCCGCGGCCUAUCAGCUUGUUGGUGGGGUAAUGGCCUACCAAGGCGACGACGGGUAGCCGGCCUGAGAGGGUGACCGGCCACACUGGGACUGAGAUACGGCCCAGACUCCUACGGGAGGCAGCAGUGGGGAAUAUUGCACAAUGGGCGCAAGCCUGAUGCAGCGACGCCGCGUGAGGGAUGACGGCCUUCGGGUUGUAAACCUCUUUCAAUAGGGACGAAGCGCAAGUGGCGGUACCUAUAGAAGAAGCACCGGCCAACUACGUG
rnacentral:rRNA from 1 species